rnacentral:rRNA from 1 species
CUAGGCAAAAUGGUGCCGUAACUUCGGGAGAAGGCACGCUGAUAUGUAGGUGAGGUCCCUCGCGGAUGGAGCUGAAAUCAGUCGAAGAUACCAGCUGGCUGCAACUGUUUAUUAAAAACACAGCACUGUGCAAACACGAAAGUGGACGUAUACGGUGUGACGCCUGCCCGGUGCCGGAAGGUUAAUUGAUGGGGUUAGCGCAAGCGAAGCUCUUGAUCGAAGCCCCGGUAAACGGCGGCCGUAACUAUAACGGUCCUAAGGUAGCGAAAUUCCUUGUCGGGUAAGUUCCGACCUGCACGAAUGGCGUAAUGAUGGCCAGGCUGUCUCCACCCGAGACUCAGUGAAAUUGAACUCGCUGUGAAGAUGCAGUGUACCCGCGGCAAGACGGAAAGACCCCGUGAACCUUUACUAUAGCUUGACACUGAACAUUGAGCCUUGAUGUGUAGGAUAGGUGGGAGGCUUUGAAGUGUGGACGCCAGUCUGCAUGGAGCCGACCUUGAAAUACCACCCUUUAAUGUUUGAUGUUCUAACGUUGACCCGUAAUCCGGGUUGCGGACAGUGUCUGGUGGGUAGUUUGACUGGGGCGGUCUCCUCCUAAAGAGUAACGGAGGAGCACGAAGGUUGGCUAAUCCUGGUCGGACAUCAGGAGGUUAGUGCAAUGGCAUAAGCCAGCUUGACUGCGAGCGUGACGGCGCGAGCAGGUGCGAAAGCAGGUCAUAGUGAUCCGGUGGUUCUGAAUGGAAGGGCCAUCGCUCAACGGAUAAAAGGUACUCCGGGGAUAACAGGCUGAUACCGCCCAAGAGUUCAUAUCGACGGCGGUGUUUGGCACCUCGAUGUCGGCUCAUCACAUCCUGGGGCUGAAGUAGGUCCCAAGGGUAUGGCUGUUCGCCAUUUAAAGUGGUACGCGAGCUGGGUUUAGAACGUCGUGAGACAGUUCGGUCCCUAUCUGCCGUGGGCGCUGGAGAACUGAGGGGGGCUGCUCCUAGUACGAGAGGACCGGAGUGGACGCAUCACUGGUGUUCGGGUUGUCAUGCCAAUGGCACUGCCCGGUAGCUAAAUGCGGAAGAGAUAAGUGCUGAAAGCAUCUAAGCACGAAACUUGCCCCGAGAUGAGUUCUCCCUGACUCCUUGAGAGUCCUGAAGGAACGUUGAAGACGACGACGUUGAUAGGCCGGGUGUGUAAGCGCAGCGAUGCGUUGAGCUAACCGGUACUAAUGAACCGUGAGGCUUAACCUU